GAUGAAGAACGCAGCGAAAUGCGAUACGUAAUGUGAAUUGCAGAAUUCAGUGAAUCAUCGAAUCUUUGAACGCACAUUGCACUCUCUGGUAUUCCGGAGAGUAUGCUUGUUUGAGUAUCUGUAAACAUCUCAAAUCUCUCUUCAAUUGCUUCAAUUGGGUCGAGAGAAUUGGAUUUGAGCGAUCCCGACUCCUUCGUCAGAAAGAGGAGGGUCGCUUGAAAUGCAGGUGCAGCUGGACAUUCUUCUGAGCAAAAAGCAUAUCUAUUUAGUCCCGUCAAACGGAUUAUUACUUUUGCUUCAGCUAAUAUAAAGGUUGAAUGAACUACCAACGCUGAUUGCAGGAAAACAUGUUCGUUUAUUCGGACUUGUAAACUCGAUCUCAAAUCAAGUAAGACUACCCGCUGAACUUAAGCAUAUCAUAAGCGGAGGA
rnacentral:misc_RNA from 1 species